GCGUUAGGCAAUCUUUGCUCCAAUGUCAACCAAUUACGACGGAGCAACAAAUGCCAUGGAACCGGUAACAUUCAACGAGGGAGCAACAAGUGCCAUGAAACCAGUAGCAAUCUGUGACACCACAAGUUUCAGGAAUAUGGAGCCAAACAAUAGCUUGCCCAUGCAGAUGGACGAGAGAAGAUUCAGUACACCCCAAAAGAAUGCAAGAACGCCUUUGUUUAGUUCAUCCUUUACACCUGAAUGUGAAGAGCAUUUGAAGCCAAAAGUAGGUAUGACAUUUUAAGGACUAGAGGCAGUGGAGGAGUUCUACAAGGCAUAUGCACACCACGCGGGUUUUGGAGUCCGUAUUGGUCAACAGAAAAAGAUUGAGAAUGAGGUGGUUCGGACUAAGCGAUUUAUGUGUAACAGGGAAGGAUUCAAGUCCAAAGAUAGUAGAGUGAGAUGUAAUCCCUCGGAGAAAAUGCGUAAGUAGACAGACACACGGUACGGUUGUGAUGCACAUAUCUUUGUCAAACUUUGUGGGGAGAAUACCUAAGAGAUAGAAUCAUGAGUUGAGCACCAUAUUCAUGGUCUUGUGUCACCUGAUAAGCGUCAUUUGAUCAGAUCGAAUCGUAGAGUUAGUGAGAGAACAAAGAAUACUCUGUUUUCAUGUCACAAGGCAAGUAUUGGCACCUCCCAGGCAUACAGGCUACUCCAUGUUAGUGAGGGUACUUUUGCAGAUGUUGGGUGCACAAAGAGGGACUUUCAGAAUUACUACCGCGACCUUAGAUAUAAAAUCAAAAAUGGUGAUGAUUAAAUGUUUGUGGCCCAGCUAGCUAGAAAGCAGGAAGUGAACUCAGCCUUCUUUUAUGAUUUUGAGGUGAAUGACCGAGGGAAAGUUGAUGCAUGUGUUAUGGGCGGAUGCCACAAGCAGGAAGAACUACAGUCACUUUGGUGAUGUGGUAUCCUUUGAUUCUACAUACACCACUAAUCAGUACAACAUGAUCUUUGCACCAUUUACAGGAGUAAAUCAUCACUUACAAACUGUAUUUUUCGGUGCUGCAUUCUUAGCAAAUGAGAAGAAUGAGUCAUACAUUUGGUUAUUUCAAACCUUCCUAAAAGCAAUGGGAGAGGUAGCACCUAGACUUAUCAUAACUGAUGAAGCCGGUAGCAUAAAGAUUGCUAUUGAUAAGGGUUUUUCCAGAUAUCGUGCACAUGUUUUGCAUGUGGCAUAUAAUGGAUAAUCUGCCUGAAAAAAUCGGUCCUUUAAUUAGAGAAGAACCUCAAUUUUGGAAGAGGAUGAACUCAUGUGUUUGGGGUUCAGAUACUGUGGCUGAAUUUGAGUCACAAUGGAGAUCCUACAGAUUUUGGUUUGGAGAAGAAUGAGUGGUUUACUAAGAGGUUUGACAUUAGAGAUAAAUGGAUACCCGCCUAAUUUAUGGAUAUAUUUUUGGCAGGCAUUCUUCGAACUACUUCCAAGAUCUGAAAGUGCAAAUUCCUUUUUCAACCGUUUCAUUCAGCGCAGGCUCGCUCUUGUUGAGUUUUGGCUUAGGUUUGAUACAGCUUUAGAAUGUCAGCGUCAGGAGGAAUUGAUGGCAGACAACAGAAGCAUACAUACCACCCCACAAUUAUUGACACCAUGGAAGAUGGAGAAACAAGGCAGUGAGGUAUUUACAUAUGAGAUGUUUGUGAAAUUUCAGCAACAAAUUAUUAUCGCUACAGACCAUUGUUGUGUUCAGGGUAUUACACAAGGUGAUGGGGUAAAAAUUGUGAGCAUGAGAGGUGGGGCUGGUAAGGUUAGGGAGGUAUGUUAUGACACAGCAACCAAGAUAGCAAAUUGUUCGUGCAAGUUAUUUGAGUCAAACGGAAUUCCAUGCCGCCAUAUUAUCCAAGUGUUGAGGAUUGAAAACGUAAACGAGCUUCUGAGUUACUACCUUCUGAAAAGAUGGCAGAAAAGAUGCAAAAGGUGAAAAAUAAUGCAUACGAUUAAUUUCUUAUUUGUUCAGAAGUCGUAUGGCUAAAAUAUUUUUUUAUUGCGGGGAGAGUGUUUAUGAUGAACAAGGAAACCUGCUAGAAGAAAAAUCCAUUAAUUCAAUGGAUGUGGCCACAAGAAAGAAAGUUUCAACUAUACGCGAUAACAUGGAAGAUCUAAUUCAAAAGGCAGUGCACUCAAAUGAAGGUUUAGACUUCUUAACAUCAAGUGUGUUCAACAUUGAGGCGCCUCUGGACCAAAUGGUCUCUGUAGCUACCAAGAACACUAGGCAAGAGGAAUAUGAGGCUUUUAUUGGUUGCAAUAUUCCUACUGAAAUUAAUAUACAUCCUCCGACCGAUGUUCGUACUGUGGGUAGAUGCAAAAGAAUAAAGACAGGGAAGGAGACCAAGGAGGAGAAUAAAAAAAAGGACAAAGAAGU